CCCUUAGAUGUUCUGGGCCGCACGCGUGCUACACUGAGUGGAUCAGCGGGUCAGGUUGCGCGAAAGUGUUUCCUAAUCUUGAAAUCCGCUCGUGAUGGGGAUUGACGGUUGCAAUUUUCUGUCAUGAACGAGGAAUACCUUGUAAGCGCGGGUCAUCAUCCCGCGCUGAAUACGUCCCUGCCCUUUGUACACACCGCCCGUCGCUCCUACCGAUUGAGUGGUCCGGUGAGGCUUUGGGAUCUGGAUGGAAAGAGCGUUUCGCUGUUUCUGCCCGGAAAACUCAGUCGAACCUUAUCAUUUAGAGGAAGGAGAAGGCGUAACA
rnacentral:rRNA from 1 species